rnacentral:rRNA from 1 species
AUACAGGGGGUGCGAGCGUUAAUCGGAAUUACUGGGCGUAAAGAGUACGUAGGCGGUUGCUUAAGUCAGAUGUGAAAGCCCCGGGCUCAACCUGGGAACUGCAUUUGAAACUGAGUGACUAGAGUUUAAGAGAGGGGAGUAGAAUUCCGGGUGUAGCGGUGAAAUGCGUAGAGAUCCGGAGGAAUACCAGUGGCGAAGGCGGCUCCCUGGCUUAAAACUGACGCUGAGGUACGAAAGCGUGGGUAGCAAACAGGAUUAGAUACCCCGGUAGUCC